rnacentral:rRNA from 1 species
GAUGAACGCUGGCGGCGUGCCUAAUACAUGCAAGUCGAGCGAACAGACGAGGAGCUUGCUCCUCUGACGUUAGCGGCGGACGGGUGAGUAACACGUGGAUAACCUACCUAUAAGACUGGGAUAACUUCGGGAAACCGGAGCUAAUACCGGAUAAUAUAUUUAACCGCAUGGUUCAAUAGUGAAAGACGGUUUUGCUGUCACUUAUAGAUGGAUCCUCACCGCAUUAGCUAGUUGGUAAGGUAACGGCUUACCAAGGCGACGAUGCGUAGCCGACCUGAGAGGGUGAACGGCCACACUGGAACUGAGACACGGUCCAGACUCCUACUGGAGGCAGAAGUAGGGAAUCUUCAGCAAUGGGCGAAAGCCUGACGGAGCAAAGCCGAGUGAGUGAUGAAGGUGUUAAGAUCGUAAAACUCUGUUAGGAGGGAAGAACAAAUGUGUAAGUAACUAUGCACGUCUUGACGGUACCGAAUCAGAAAGACACGGAUAACUACGUG